UACGGGGGGAGCAAGCGUUGUUCGGAUUUACUGGGCGUAAAGGGCGCGUAGGCGGCCACCGCAAGUCGACUGUGAAAUCUCUGGGCUUAACCCAGAACGGUCAGCCGAUACUGCGGGGCUAGAGUGCAGAAGGGGCAACUGGAAUUCUCGGUGUAGCGGUGAAAUUCGUAGAUAUCGAGAGGAACACCGGUGGCGAAGGCGGCCUUCUGGACAGUGACUGACGCUGAGACGCGAAAGCGUGGGGAGCAAACAGG
rnacentral:rRNA from 1 species